CCUACGGGAGGCAGCAGUGGGGAAUAUUGGACAAUGGGGGGAACCCUGAUCCAGCAACGCCGCGUGAGUGAAGAAGUCUUUCGGUAUGUAAAGCUCUAUCAGCAGGGAAGAAAGAAAUGACGGUACCUGACUAAGAAGCUCCGGCUAACUACGUGCCAGCAGCCGCGGUAAUACGUAGGGGGCAAGCGUUAUUCGGAUUUACUGGGUGUAAAGGGUGCGUAGACGGUUAAUCAAGUCUGGGGUGAAAACCGAGGGCCCAACCCCGGUGCUGCGUUGAAAACUGUAGAACUUGAGUGCAGUAGAGGUAAGUGGAAGUCCUAGUGUAGCGGUGAAAUGCGUAGAUAUUAGGAGGAACACCAGUGGCGAAGGCGGCUUACUGGACUGUAACUGACGCUGAGGCUCGAAAGUGUGGGGAGCAAACAGGAUUAGAUACCCUAGUAGUC
rnacentral:rRNA from 1 species